rnacentral:rRNA from 1 species
AGAGCGAACGCUGGCGGCAUGCUUAACACAUGCAAGUCUCACGGGCAGCAAUGUCAGUGGCGGACGGGUGAGUAACGCGUAGGUAUCUAUCCAUGGGUGGGGGAUAACGUCGGGAAACUGACGCUAAUACCGCAUGACACCUGAGGGUCAAAGGCGCGAGUCGCCUGUGGAGGAGCCUGCGUACGAUUAGCUAGUUGGUGGGGUAACUGCCUACCAAGGCGACGAUCGUUAGCUGGUCUGAGAGGAUGAUCAGCCACACUGGGACUGAGACACGGCCCAGACUCCUACGGGAGGCAGCAGUGGGGAAUAUUGGACAAUGGGCGAAAGCCUGAUCCAGCAAUGCCGCGUGUGUGAAGAAGGUCUUCGGAUUGUAAAGCACGUUUCGGCGGGGACGAUGAUGACGGUACCCGCAGAAGAAGCCCCGGCUAACUUCGCGCCAGCAGCCGCGGUAA